rnacentral:rRNA from 1 species
GUAGGGGGCAAGCGUUGUCCGGAUUUAUUGGGCGUAAAGAGCGUGUAGGCGGCCAGGUAGGUCUGCUGUGAAAACUCGAGGCUUAACCUCGAGAUGUCGGCGGAAACCAUCUGGCUAGAGUCCGGAAGAGGAGAGUGGAAUUCCUGGUGUAGCGGUGAAAUGCGCAGAUAUCAGGAAGAACACCCGUGGCGAAGGCGGCUCUCUGGGACGGUACUGACGCUGAGACGCGAAAGCGUGGGGAGCGAACAGG